rnacentral:sRNA from 1 species
GGAACUCCAUACUGAUUUCAAUAUGGCUACACUAAUGUCCAUUUGUAAAGAUCUCCCACCCUCUGUGCACAUCAGCAUCUUCCCUCUUGACUUGCUUUGAGCCUAAAAUCUGAUCUGGUUUGAAGAAAGUUUCAUGAACUGCUGAGAAGAACCCAUUUACCACAGGUAUUGGGUGAAAUAAUUCUGCUGGUGUCUUGUCUGUGUGUCUCGGAGGCAGAGUAUGAGGUGCUGUUGAUGGACUCAGGGUCUUCUUGCAUGCUUAGCAGGUACAUUAUCUAUGCCACCACCUAGCUAACCCUCUUCUGAUGCUUAAAUCCUGAGCAGUUCCCGCAGUGAUAUACUGUAUCCAUGCACUCUCCAUAGCGAUACACUGUAUCCAUGCACUCUCCACAAGCAGUGGGGGGGAUUUUAGUGGUCUUUGCUACAAUGGGUACACAGGAUGAUAGACAGAACCCUGCCAAGGUGCCCUAAGGUUAAUAUGAAAAUAACCUGCCAAGACAUAAGUGGGAAAGAUGGAGAGUGAUGGGCAGCAUAGACUGUAGGUCACAAACCUACCAACACGGGGAAGCUUCGUGUAUACUUAAUAUUGUUUAAAAUAGCAUUGGCUGCCAGGCAUGGUGGACACACCUUUAAUCUCAGCAUUCUGGAGGCAGAGGCAAGCAGAGUGAGUCUCAGGACAGGCAGGGCUGCACAUAAUAAUCCUAUCUCAAAAAACUAACAAACGAACAGCAUUAACGAGCAUCCAGCCUAGUGUCCAGAAUACCCUACACUGCUCUCUCCCUCAGAGUCCUCCCACUGCACUAUGCUUGUGUUCUCCUCCUCAUCCUCCUCCAUUGUGUCCAUGCUCCUUUCCUUACGUCCUCCCUACCCUGUGCUCAAGCUCCUCCUCCAUCAUCCUAUUUCCUGAAUUAUGUCUACCAGUUUGUGGAUUUUGGAGACAGGGACUUUCUGGUCAGUUUCAUUCCUUGUGGAACAUUUGUUACAUGGCUGACUCUUUUUGUUGGUUUUUUUUUUUUUUUUAAUGCCCUUGGUAUAAGCAGUAAGCAAUGGACUUUAAGGCUAGAGCUGCCAGACCCAUUGGUCAGUCUUAAGGCGUUAUGCUUAAAUGUGCCUCCAGACUACCGUGUUUACCCUUAGUUCCCAGUUGCUAUGGCUAAUCUUGGUCAUCAACUUGAUAUACAUGGGAAAACAGAACAUCAAUUGAGGCACUGCCUUCAUCAGAUUGGCUUGUGUAUGUCUAUGGGCGGGGCAUUUUCUUGAUUGUUAACUGAUAGAAGAAGGCUUAGCUCGCUGUGGGUUGAGCCCCCACCCUGGGCAGGUGGUCCAUGAACCUGGAAACAAGCAGAAAGAAACCAUGGUUUCCGAAUCAAGCUACUUCUCUCGAUGAUGGACUAUAAUUUGUAAGGCAAAUAAAUCCUUCCCUUUUCUCCCCCAAGUUUCUUUUGGUCACAGAUUCUGAACACAGCAACAAAAAUCUAGGAGAGUAGCUGAAUGGUGUUGGAGGAGCACAGAGGAGCCCUCCCAGUGGAUCCCUGUCUCCUGGGGUGAAGCUCCCAGGAAGUGGAUCUGGGGAAGCUCCAGCCAUGAGGACUAUGAAAAUAAACUGCCAACGAUGUGAAUGGGACAGAUUCAAAGUGAUGGAAGAUUUUCAGAGACCGCAGGCUGCACGCUGCGACAGGGAUCCAGAGAUGAACAUCUGCUUUUGGUGAGGGACGGAGCCCUGGUCCAGCAUCAAGUCAGCCAACCCACCUACCAGGGCAUCUGCCUGGGUCCUCACCAACAGACAUGGGUGCAGAACUGAAGCCAGGCAGCCACCGGGCCAGAUCCCCCACCCAGGUCUGAUAUCUGACUCUGGGCAACCCCAAUCUAAAGACAUUAAUAAAACUUUCUAAAAAAUGGUUCUUUCAUCUGAACUGACCCAUCCUCUGUGUGGCGUGGUAAAAUUUCAUGGCCUUGGGCUCAGUACUGCCUCUGUGUAUGUGAGUCACCCCUCUGUCUAGCUUUUUACAUCACCCACCCUGUAGUGGCCUGGGAGUUAUUUCCACAAUCAGAUCAACUGCCACCAUAUACCAAAGACCAGCCAUGAAAGUCCUUCCUUCGGGUGAAAAAGGGAAACUCGCAGUGUAAUAAACAAAUUAAAAACCAGCUUGUAGUGCUUGCUAAGAUCUGGGUAAGGAUGUUCCAGGGUUGGGCGUGGCAGUAAACUUUUAGCAAUCCUCCUGCUUCAGCCUCCUGGUGCUGGAAUUACAAAUGUGUGCCACUGUGCCCAGUUGCUGUUUUUAGUUUCUGGCCAUGGCUGAAUUUUAGCUUAUAAAAUCAUAGAUGAAAGAAAAGUAGUCAAGCCAGACACUGCGUGAGGUUUCAGACAACCAAUGGGCUCUUAGAAGACAUUCCCUAGGGGGCUGGAGAGAUGGCUCAGCGGUUAAGAGCACUGACUGUUCUUCCAAAGGUCCUGAGUUCAA